AUGACUUCCGGAUGGGAGCCGAAGCGUCUUGAUUCUGAAAACAGUGUCCAGGUGACUACGACUGAAACCUUUUCUACGAUAGAACACUCCUGGACGAAUGAGGGACUACACCGUCUCUUCCUUCCUGGCUAGUCUGCUGGCCCUGCCAUGUAAUCUGCUUGGAGCAGAAACUACAAGCGGACACUGCACAGCGAAAGACGCUUCCACGGUGGAAUCACAAUUCUACCCAGCUUGGCUCGUCUACAACAGACUGACCGCCAGCUAACAGCAGCACCAAAGCCACCUCUCUUUACGUCCCACGGACAGGAAUUAUGAGCAGCAGCUCCUGGAUACUUGGACUGUAAAUUAUUCAGAUAAAGUAAGCUAUUGCCAUAGCUUCAGCACUUUUAUGACCUCCUCAGUGCUACGUGAGUGCGGCCUACCAACAGCACAAGCCUGUACUGCAGUGACUGGAUACUUAGCUAAAGCUAAUUAGCAGUAAGAUGUGACGAGUAACAGGGUGAGUAACAGGCAGAGCCCAGCGCUCUGAGAUUUGUGAUGCGACUGGCUGGCCUGCAUUAUCAUCCAGGCAGAGCACCUCUUUAACCCCUAUUAGUAGGACACAGCCGUGGACAUCUGCAAAAGGGAGAGUUAGCAAUAAACCUCCCCAACAACCAUGUGUGCAACUGCAGAACAAAUUUGCUCCGUUGUUGCAGGACCCUGGAUCGCUGUCUGAUGACCAGGAUAACCUCUCAUCUUCACACAACAGGAACAAACCGGAGACACAGGGAAGAUACAAAGAUUGUUUAUUGCAACACGAGGAGUAGGAGUGGAUAAUGGAGGGAAUGAUACUGUCCUGAUUUCACUGGAGAUCGAGGAGCUCUGGAGUCUUGUAGCUGAACACAGGAGAGCAGGUACACACGGGGCAGGGAACCGGAGCGACACACACGGGAGACACACACGGAAGACUGGAGUAGACAGGAGUCGGGAUCGAGGUACUGAUACCGUCCCUUUACUGGAGGUAGCGGAGCUCUGGGGUAAUGCUGAUGCACACAGGAGAGUGAAGAAACACGAGACCGGGAACAGGAGCAACACACUCAGGAGACUGGAGACACACAGAACCAGGAGCUGGAGUGACACACACGGGAGACUGGAGAAGACAGGAGCCGGGGUAGACGUACCGGAUACGAAUAGGUAAGUCCGUGACGUAGUGGAUACAGGAGAAAGGCGUUCUGUCUAAAUCCUAAUGAGACCGGACACUGACUGUGGUGAGGAGCUGGGUUUUAUAGGUGAGUGGAGUGCUAAUUGAUUGCAGGUGUGUACGAGGUGACAGGUGCUUGGCAUUAGUACUCAGGUGAGGGAGUGCAGAGUGAAGGGGAGUGGCUGGAGAGCACAUGACAGACUGUGACAGUUUAGGUUCAGUGUUGAUUAAUAGGCUUGAUUUGAAGAUGGCUGCAACUCCACCUCCUUGCCUGGUGCCUCGAGGAAUUAUGAGUAUUAAUAUGACUGGGUGGAGUGGAUUCAUUUAGGCUCACAAAUUCUUCAUGGCCCAGCCAGGUUUAAGUAAGACAAAAUAAGUCAAUAUGAUACGAUGAUAUUAAAUCGUUCACUAGUACAGCUUUAUAUGACAGAGAUCUGAUGUUUAAGAGUCCACAUUUAAUUCUCCUAUUUUAUUGUGCUAUUUCAG